rnacentral:misc_RNA from 1 species
AAGUCGUAACAAGGUUUCCGUAGGUGAACCUGCGGAAGGAUCAUUAAAGAGUAAGGGCCUCUGGCCCGAACCUCCAACCCUCUGUUGUUAUAACUACUUCGUUUGCAUUUGGCGGGACCGCCGAAAGGGUUCUCCCGAGCGCCGCCAGUCCCGGACAGGCGAGCGCCCGCAGAGUCUAACCAAACUGCUUGUUUUAAACCAGUCGUCUGAGUAUAAAAUUUUAAUUAAAUUAAAA